CGCUUUACCGGAUUUCUUCGGAAUGAAAGUUUUGUGACUGAGUGGCGGACGGGUGAGUAACGCGUGGGUAACCUGCCUCAUACAGGGGGAUAACAGUUAGAAAUGACUGCUAAUACCGCAUAAGACCACAGGACCGCAUGGUCCAGUGGUAAAAACUCCGGUGGUAUGAGAUGGACCCGCGUCUGAUUAGCUAGUUGGUAAGGUAACGGCUUACCAAGGCGACGAUCGGUAGCCGGACUGAGAGGUUGAACGGCCACAUUGGGACUGAGACACGGCCCAGACUCC
rnacentral:rRNA from 1 species